rnacentral:rRNA from 1 species
UGUAGUCUCAACGAUGAUGCAUACAUGUCAACUAUGGGUGUUGGCUCCAACAAUUCGCAUUGGUCUCAAACCAAUGACAUGCAUUUCGAAGACCAUGAGUUCGAGGUGGACGAGGAGGGUGAGGGCAUUGUCGACGCGCCGAAAGGAAGAGCGGGCAAUUACACCAACGCCGAUGACAUCUUACUAUGCAAUACUUGGUUGCAAGUGUCGAGGGAUCCAUCCGUUGGAGGUGAUCAAAGUAGAGAUGCUUAUUGUGGGCGGAUCAAAGAACACUAUGAUGUUCACAACGUGAGUGGAAUUGACCGCUCCGAGAGAUCACUUCGGUCCCGGUGGUCGACAAUCAACUCGGAUUGUCAAAGGUGGGCGGCCUGUCAAAAGGCGGUUGACAAGUUGAACCCAAGUGGCACAAAUGAGGACGAUAGAGCAAGUGGCAUCUCAUACAUGUUCAUCAUACUUGUUGUUGGUGUUCGAAGUGCUAACUUGUUUUGUUUUCAUGUAGUACCACAUUGCACAAAACUUGUUCAAAGAAGAGGAGAGGAAGACCAAGAAGGGGAAGAUCAAGAAAGGAAGGGUCUUUACCUUGCCUCAUUGCUAUAA